AUAUGGAAGACGCGAGGAAUGUCGCAGCUGCGACACCGAAAGAAGAGUGAAGAGGAUGAAAGUGUAUUGUUUUAUGUCAUUAAAUUUCUACUUCAGAUACUAUCAAUGGUCCAGGGGUGAUGAAGGUAGAUGUUAUGGCAAUCGUAAUUG
rnacentral:ribozyme from 12 species